ensembl:snRNA U6 U6 spliceosomal RNA
AUGCUGACUUUGGCAACACAUAUACUAAAAUUGGAACAAUACAGAGAAGACUAGCAUGGCCCCUGUGCAAGGAUGACACAGAAAUUCAUGAAGUAUUAUGUAUCAUU